AGCAAGCACCGGCUAACUUCGUGCCAGCAGCCGCGGUAAUACGAGGGGUGCAAGCGUUAAUCGGAAUUACUGGGCGUAAAGCGUUCGUAGGCGGUUAUUUAAGCAAGAUGUGAAAGCCCAGGGCUCAACCUUGGAACUGCAUUUUGAACUGGGUAACUAGAGUACUGUAGAGGGUGGUGGAAUUUCCAGUGUAGCGGUGAAAUGCGUAGAGAUUGGAAGGAACAUCAGUGGCGAAGGCGGCCACCUGGACAGAUACUGACGCUGAGGAACGAAAGCGUGGGGAGCGAACAGGAUUAGAUACCCUGGUAGUCCACGCCGUAAACGAUGUCAACUAGCCGUUCGUGGACUUGAUCCGUGAGUGGCGCAGCUAACGCACUAAGUUGACCGCCUGGGGAGUACGGCCGCAAGGUUAAAACUCAAAUGAAUUGACGGGGGCCCGCACAAGCGGUGGAGCAUGUGGUUUAAUUCGAUGCAACGCGAAGAACCUUACCAUCCCUUGACAUCCUACUAAGAGACUAGAGAUAGACUUGUGCCUUCGGGAAAGUAGUGACAGGUGCUGCAUGGCUGUCGUCAGCUCGUGUUGUCAAAUGUUGGGUUAAGUCCCGCAACGAGCGCAACCCCUAUCCUUAUUUGCCAGCGCGUAGUGGCGGGAACUCUAAGGGACUGCCGGUGAUAAACCGGAGGAAGGUGGGACGACGUCAAGUCAUCAUGGCCCUUACGGGAUGGGCUACACACGUGCUACAAUGGCAGGUACAGAGGGCAGCGAUACCGCGAGGUGAGCGAUCCCACAAAG
rnacentral:rRNA from 1 species